GAUGAAGAACGCAGCGAAAUGCGAUAAGUAGUGUGAAUUGCAGAAUUCAGUGAAUCAUCGAAUCUUUGAACGCACAUUGCGCCCCUUGGUAUUCCAUGGGGCAUGCCUGUUCGAGCGUCAUUUGUACCUUCAAGCUUUGCUUGGUGUUGGGUGUUUGUCCAUUCUCUUGCAGAGGGACUCGCCUUAAAGUAAUUGGCAGCCAGUGUUUUGGGUUUGAAGCGCAGCACAAGUCGCGAUUCAAAGCUAUACGCCCGCUUCCACAAGCCUUUUUCACUUUUGACCUCGGAUCAGGUAGGGAUACCCGCUGAACUUAAGCAUAUCAAUAAGCGGAGGA
rnacentral:misc_RNA from 1 species